rnacentral:rRNA from 1 species
UGAAUACGAAAUGCUACGGCAUUGAAGUGAUCUAUGCCAUGCUUCCAAGAAAAUCUCGUCAUAUCUUAAAUAAUAAAUGCCUGUACCUUAAACCGACACAGGUAGGUAGGUAGAGUAUACCAAGGGGCGCGAGAUAACUCUCUCUAAGGAACUCGGCAAAAUAACCUCGUAACUUCGGAAGAAGAGGUACCCAUGAAAAAGGGUUGCAAUAACCAGACCCUGGCGACUGUUUACCAAAAACACAGGUCUCCGCUAAUUCGUAAGAUCAAGUAUGGAGGCUGACGCCUGCCCAGUGCCGGAAGGUUAAAGAAGUUGGUCAAUCUUCGGAUAAGCUGGCGACUGAAGCCCUGGUGAACGGCGGCCGUAACUAUAACGGUCCUAAGGUAGCGAAGUUCCUUGUCGGGUAAGUUCCGACCCGCACGAAAGGCGUAACGAUCAGGGUGCUGUCUCGGAGAGAGACUCGGCGAAAUAGACAUGUCUGUGAAGAUGCGGACUACCUGCACCUGGACAGAAAGACCCUAUGAAGCUUUACUGUAUCUUGGAAUUGGGUUUGGGCCUUGUUUGCGCAGGAUAGGUGGGAGGCUGUGAAAAUAUUCUCGUGGGAAUAUUGGAGCCAACGGUGAGAUACCACUCUAGCAAGGCUAAAAUUCUAACUCUGAACCGUUAUCCGGUCAGAGAACAGUUUCAGGUGGGCAGUUUGACUGGGGCGGUCGCCUCCUAAAAGGUAACGGAGGCGCGCAAAGGUUCCCUCAGGCUGGUUGGACAUCAGUCGUAGAGUGUAAAGGCAUAAGGGAGCUUGACUGCGAGACCCACAAGUCGAGCAGAGACGAAAGUCGGCCUUAGUGAUCCGACGGUUCCACGUGGAAGGGCCGUCGCUCAACGGAUAAAAGUUACUCUAGGAUAACAGGCUGAUCUCCCCCAAGAGUUCACAUCGACGGGGAGGUUUGGCACCUCGAUGUCGGCUCAUCGCAUCCUGGGGCGGUAGAACGUCCCAAGGGUUGGGCUGUUCGCCCAUGAAAGCGGUACGCGAGCUGGGUUCAGAACGUCGUAAGACAGUUCGGUCCAUAUCCGGUGCAGGCGUUAGAGCAUUGAAAGGAGUCCCCCUUAGUACGAGAGGACCGGGGGGAAUACACCGCUGGUGUACCAGUUAUCGUGCCAACGGUAAACGCUGGGUAGCCAUGUGUAGCGUGGAUAACUGCUGAAAGCAUCUAAUAGGAAGCCCACCUUAAGAUGAGUGCUCUCACCGCUAUAAGCGGGUAAGGUCGCGGUAAGAACAACCGUUAUAUAGGCAUUAAGUAUACAUGCAGUAAUGCAUUUAGCUGAGAUGUACUAACAGACCGAGGGCUU